GAUGAACGCUGGCGGCGUGCCUAAUACAUGCAAGUCGAGCGAACAGACGAGGAGCUUGCUCCUCUGACGUUAGCGGCGGACGGGUGAGUAACACGUGGAUAACCUACCUAUAAGACUGGGAUAACUUCGGGAAACCGGAGCUAAUACCGGAUAAUCUCUUGAACCGCAUGGUUCAAUAGUGAAAGACGGUUUUGCUGUCACUUAUCGAUGGAUCCGCGCCGCAUUAGCUAGUUGGUAAGGUAACGGCUUACCAAGGCAACGAUGCGUAUCCGACCUGAGAGGUUGAUCGGCCACACAGGAACUGAGACACGGUCCAGACACAUACGGGAGGCAGCAAUAGGGAAACUCACGCAAUGGGCGAAAGCAUGACGGAGAAAAGCCGCGUGAGUGAUGAAGGUAUUCGGAUCGUAAAACUCUGUUAUUAGAGAAGAACAAAUGUGUAAGUAACUAUGCAAGUCUUGACGGUACCUAAUCAGAAAGCCACGGCUAACUACGUG
rnacentral:rRNA from 1 species